rnacentral:rRNA from 1 species
GUAGGUGGCAAGCGUUGUCCGGAAUUAUUGGGCGUAAAGCGCGCGCAGGCGGUUCUUUAAGUCUGAUGUGAAAGCCCACGGGCUCAACCGUGGAGGGUCAUUGGAAACUGGAGAACUUGAGUACAGAAGAGGAAAGCGGAAUUCCACGUGUAGCGGUGAAAUGCGUAGAGAUGUGGAGGAACACCAGUGGCGAAGGCGGCUUUCUGGUCUGUAACUGACGCUGAGGCGCGAAAGCGUGGGGAGCAAACAGGAUUAGAUACCCUGGUAGUCCACGCCGUAAACGAUGAGUGCUAAGUGUUAGGGGGUUUCCGCCCCUUAGUGCUGCAGCUAACGCACUAAGCACUCCGCCUGGGGAGUACGGCCGCAAGGCUG